GUUGAAGGCGUGGUAAAACACGCUGGAGGACCGAACCCACGCAAGUUGAAAAUUGCGGGGAUGAGUUGUGGGUAGCGGUGAAAUUCCAAACGAACUUGGAGAUAGCUGGUUCUCUCCGAAAUAGCUUUAGGGCUAGCCUCGUGGAGAGGAUAAUGGAGGUAGAGCACUGUUUGGACUAGGGGCCCGUCAGGGGUUACUGAAUCCAGAUAAACUCCGAAUGCCAGAUAUCAAUGCACGGGAGUCAGACUGCGAGUGAUAAGAUCCGUAGUCGAAAGGGAAACAGCCCAGAUCACCAGUUAAGGUCCCGAAAUCUAUGCUAAGUGGAAAAGGAUGUGGAGUUGCGUAGACAACUAGGACGUUGGCUCAGAAGCAGCCAUCAUUCAAAGAGUGCGUAAUAGCUCACUAGUCGAGUGGCGCUGCGCCGAAAAUUUACCGGGGCUAAGCAUAGUACCGAAACUGUGGAUGUGUUUUAAAGAGCACGUGGUAGGAGAGCGUUCUAAGAGCGGAGAAGUUGAAUCGAGAGGAUCAAUGGAGCGCUUAGAAGUGAGAAUGCCGGUAUGAGUAGCGAAAGAUAGGUGAGAAUCCUAUCCGCCGAAAGACUAAGGUUUCCUGGGGCAGGCUCGUCCGCCCAGGGUAAGUCGGGACCUAAGGCAAGGCCGAGAGGCGUAGUCGAUGGAUAACAGGUAGAGAUUCCUGUACUGUGUCAAAUCGUUAAGAGCGAAGGAGGGACGCAGGAGGUGAAGCACGCAUCGCGAUGGAACGAUGUUCAAGCAACAAGUGCGGUUAAGAGUCAAAUGCUUCUAACCAGCAACACGAGUUGUGAAGAGGAGUGAAUUAAAAGUAGCGAAGGUGUGGUAAUCACACUGCCAAGAAAAGCUUCUAGCCAGAGAUGACAUACCCGUACCGCAAACCGACACAGGUAGUCGAGUGGAGAACACUAAGGUGAGCGAGAGAACUCUCGUUAAGGAACUCGGCAAAAUGACCCCGUAACUUCGGAAGAAGGGGUGCUAGCCAAGAGAUUGGUUAGCCGCAGUGAAUAGGCCCAAACAACUGUUUAUCAAAAACACAGGUAUCUGCAAAAUCGUAAGAUGACGUAUAGGUGCUGACACCUGCCCGGUGCUGGAAGGUUAAGAGGAGAGCUUAGCGUAAGCGAAGGUUUGAAUUGAAGCCCCAGUAAACGGCGGCCGUAACAAUAACGGUCCUAAGGUAGCG
rnacentral:rRNA from 1 species